rnacentral:rRNA from 1 species
GACGGAGGGUGUGAGCGGUAAUCGGAAUCACUGGGCGUAAAGCGUCUGUAGGUGGUGAUGCAAGUCACUGGUGCAAAACUCUGGCUCAACCGGAGGAAAGCCAGUGAAACUGCAUGACUAGAGUGUGGGAGAGGUAGAAGGAAUUCCCUGAGUAGCGGUGAAAUGCGUAGAUACAGGGAAGAACACCGGAGGCGAAAGCGUUCUACUGGAACACAACUGACACUGAGAGACGAAAGCUAGGGGAGCGAAUGGG